rnacentral:tRNA from 1 species
GCCUGGUUGGCUCAGUUGGUAGAGCAUGAGACUCGAUUUCACGGUCAUGAGUUCAAGCCCCACACUGGGUG